GGAACUGUUGACAGUCCAUGGAACUGGGGCAUUAACUCUUUAACUCCCAGUGCACUACAUGAUAUCAUGAUGUGGAAUACUGAAAACAAAAAUCGUAAAGCCAUGACAGUGGACGAACACAUUCUUCUGUCUUGGGCAGCAUUUGUCUUCUAGUGUACAAAACUAAAGUUCAUUUGUUGGAUGAUGUAUUGGUCUGGGACUCAUAAGAUUCUAAGAAACGUAACGCGAUUCUUAUUGUAUUUGUUCCUCCCACUCAUUUCACUUCUAAUAUGAUCAUUAUGAACUCCUUUGUGCUUCUCUUAUGGCUACCAAGAAUGUAGCUGUUUCUACAUGUAAUUUUUACCCUCAAGAAUGUAUAUGCGUGUUUCUCAUCAGAGAUGGGGGAGGGGUGUAACAAACACAACUUCUCAGAGAAUUGAUGGGUUUUUAGCCAUCCAUGGGAAGACACUGUGGAAGUUAGCAUGGGGUAGAUUUAAUGGAUGUUUCCAGGCUGGAGUCAGGCUUCUUCCUGAUUCCUAAGUUGCAGUAUUUAUUACAUCAGCCUGGAACAGACUGCCCAGGGAUGUGGUGGAGUCACACUCCCUGGAGGUUUUCAAGGAAAGGAUAGAUGGGACACUCAGGGACAUGGUCUAGAGAAGUCACAGGCAUGGGUUGAGAGUUGGACUAGAUGACCUUAGUGGCAUUUUCCAACCUCAAUGAUUAUAUGAUUCUAUGAUUUUCAGUCCCAAAACCAUGACCACCUCACUUCUUGCACACUCAAGUGUUUUUCUGGAAGGAAACACCCCCACUAAUCCAAAGGGUGAAACCCAGCCAGGGGAUCAAGCCCUCUUCUGAAAGAUUUGCUGUAUCUGUGCACUUACUUUUGUCAUGCUCCUAACCCAUACUUCUGCAGCUAAGAUUGCACUGUAAAUACAGAUAGAGCCUUCUUGCAGGCUAUUAGCUUAAAGUUAGGUAGCAUUUGCUGUUUUAGAAAUAUCCUAUGAGAGGUAACUGAGGUCUCUUGUCAGGAUGAGAGUCUGCAGCCUGAACUGAAAUAAUAUCUUUACUGCAGCUGUAAAAAAUGCAUUAAAGGAAGUAGAGAUGAUGUUUUAACGAUAACAUUUAUAAAACAUCAAGGAUGGCUUGUGAAGGAACGCAUGGUUUUCAAGUGCUAAUUGAAGAAAGGCCUGCAAGCGGUGCAAGUGGUGCAUAUUUGCCAGGUUUUGGCAAAUUAGUAUUUUAUUUCAAGACUCUCUCAGUGAACUAUAGAACUCAGGGAAAAAUAAUUAAGGCCCUCUCUGGUUCAUGCUACGUGAAUUUUGUGAAUACUUAACAUUUUGUCAUUUGGUUAAGUCCCCAUUUCCUAACUGAUCUUUUUCUCAUAGUUACCCAAAAAUCAGGUUCUCACAUCCAGCAAAAGAUCUGAAAGGGCUCAUCCAAAACCACUGCCGUGAAGAGAAAAAGACUUAUUUUCCUCUGAGGACCUCUCAGACCUGUCAGGGAGACAGAAGAACUGUAAAGAACAAAAUUGUAUUUGGUUCUUUUUUUCUUCAUCCCUUUUUUUGUCUGGUCAGGACCCUGAUCUUCCCAAAGGGGAAAGGUAUAAGAAACAUUGGCAAGCACCUCUUAACCAACAUUAUUCCUGGAAAAGGCAUCUUGUUGUAAAGCUAAAUCCAUUCUCUUUCAAUUCAGACCUCAGGCAUUCUGCUCAGGCCACAGUGGCCACAAAUUCAAAUCUUCUCUCAAACCUGAAGGCAAUUGGAUCUAGCCAUCCUGUUCUCACAGAGUAUGUGUCCAAGCCACAAAUCUGCACAUAAUGUGCUCCCAAAGUUCAGCCCUAUGCUGGGAGGUACAGAGAGUAAGCUGAAAUUGUACUUUAACUUCUCUUUCACUGUUUAAGAAGAAAGUUUCAUUUUCAAAGAAGACAUUUAUCUGAAAAGCGAAUUUGGAACCUUGAAUCCACUUCUUGUUGAUGGUAUGACCUCACCUGGAGUACAUCCUCCAGAUGUGGAGUCCUCAGUACAGGAGAGAUGUGGACUUGUUGGAGCACGUUCAGAGGAGGGACAUGUGUCAAAGGUCUUACUGCAGUCCAGAUAGAUGACAUCAGUAGCUCUUCCCUUGUCCACUGAUGCAAUGACACCAUCAUAGAAGGCCACUAGGUUAAUCAAGCAGGAUUUGCCCUUGGUGAAGCCAUGCUGGUUCUCCUGUAUUGCCUCCCUGCCUUCCAUGUGCCUUAGCAUUGCUUCCAGGAGGAUCUGUUCCAUGAUCUUCCCUGGCACAGAGGUGAGACUGACAGGUCGGUAGUUCCCAGGAUCUUCCUUUUUACCCUUUUUAAAGAUGGAUAUGAUGUUUCCUUUUUUCCAGUCACCAGGGACUUCAUUUGAUUGCCACAACUUUUCAAGUAUCUUAGAGAGUGUCUUGGCAACCACAUCAGCCAAUUCCCUCAGGACUGUGGGAUGCAUCUCAACAGGACCCAUAGACUUGUGGAUGUUCAGGUUUCUCAGGUGGUCAUGAACCUGAUCUUCACUUAGUGUGGGAGGGGCUUUGCUUCCCUGAUCUCCUCCUGCCAAACCAAAUGUUUGAGGACUAUGUGGUG
ensembl:lncRNA